rnacentral:lncRNA from 1 species
CGGGCUCGACGUCAGAGGGGGCAUCGAUGGCAACGACCACCUGGGUAGGCACGGUCGAGCUCGUCUCCCCUACCCUUGCCUUCUUCGCCGACCCGGAGGUCGCGACGCCUUUCCUUUUGUGGGCCUUGAGAUCCUGGGCUAGCAUUCGAGCUGUGUUAGCAUCCAUAUCUGCAAUGAAAGAGGAUCGCCACAGCUUAGAAAAAGAAUAAGAAGAAAGGGGAACAACGAAUGACUAAAAAAAAAAUACCGGCAGGGUUGAGAGGGCUUAGGCCGACGUU